rnacentral:rRNA from 1 species
GAUGAACGCUGGCGGCGUGCCUAAUACAUGCAAGUCGAGCGAAUGGAUUGAGAGCUUGCUCUUGUGAAGUUAGCGGCGGACGGGUGAGUAACACGUGGGUAACCUGCCCGUAAGACUGGGAUAACUCCGGGAAACCGGGGCUAAUACCGGAUAACAUUUUGAACCGCAUGGUUCGAAAUUGAAAGGCGGCUUCGGCUGUCACUUAUGGAUGGACCCGCGUCGCAUUAGCUAGUUGGUGAGGUAACGGCUCACCAAGGCAACGAUGCGUAGCCGACCUGAGAGGGUGAUCGGCCACACUGGGACUGAGACACGGCCCAGACUCCUACGGGAGGCAGCAGUAGGGAAUCUUCCGCAAUGGACGAAAGUCUGACGGAGCAACGCCGCGUGAGUGAUGAAGGCUUUCGGGUCGUAAAACUCUGUUGUUAGGGAAGAACAAGUGCUAGUUGAAUAAGCUGGCACCUUGACGGUACCUAACCAGAAAGCCACGGCUAACUACGUGCCAGCCGCCGCUGUAA